GUUUAUGUUGAAGAGUCAGUUUUUCAAAUUAACUCUCAUAACGCCGGGGUCGGUGGUUCAAGUCCACCCAUAGCCACCA
rnacentral:tRNA from 1 species